CCUUCUCUCCCUCCUACUGCUGUGAAGGGCUCUGCCAGGCUGCCUGCACCCUGACCCCUUCCCCUCCUGCUCUUGGAAACGCAGAGGGAAAGGUGUUUCACCCUUCAAGCGCCUCCGAGUCCUGUGACUCCGCGGGAUGCUAAGAAGGCACAUUUCAACCCAAAGCAGCCAGCAGCCCCACCCCACUCACUCACCGGAGUUAGAGCAGAGGGUUUUCCUGGGCAGCCUCUACCCAGAGUGAAAUUUGGAGACAACCAGCUAGAACCCAAAUGCCACGUCUGCCCCUCUCCACCCCCUCCCCCUGGAGAGUUUCAUACCAGUGUGGACUUCACAACUUCAGAAGCCUGUGGUUUGUGGAGAAUGUCUUUGAGGAUACGGACUGUUUCCUUUUGGUCAUGGUAUCUCAAGUGCCUGCCUGGCACCCAGUAGAUGCUGAAAGAAAAAUGCUAAGUUGAACACCACAAUAAGAUUUAGAGCUGAAAGGACUCUUGCCAGAUUGGCCAUAACAGGCAGAGAUCAGGGUCUCCCUUGCCUUGCUUCUGGGGUACAUCACAGGCAAAGAGAUCAGGAGCUCAGCAGUUUGAGUAAAACCAAAGAUAAGCAGUGAAACUGGCUCUUUAAACCAGUCUGACUCCCAAAAUUCAUCCAAGGCUUAAUCCCUCACAUUCCUGACCUGUUUACCACUUCUCACCGUAUGCAUAGCUGAGUUUUGAAGUGAUUGCACGAUUUUACCACCUCCUUGCUCUGGACUCAACCAGAUUUCCUCCUUCUCAGGCCUGGUACACCCAGACCCUAGCUCCACACUCUCAGUUCACAGCUUCCUGUGGUUGCUUAGUGGCUCCUGAAGAACAAGGACCAUUGGACAGACUGAGGGGUGGAGUAGGGCAAGGAAGGAUAGUCCCAUAAAGGAACCACUAUCCCUUUCUUUCCAUGAGGCUGGGAUAAAAGGCCUCCUUUCCAACCAAGUGCUGACCCAAGUACCUUGCACUCGACAAAGACCUGUUUAUUGGAAUCGUGUGCUUUCUACUCUCCCACUCCCCUAAUGCCAACUGCCACCUCCCUUUCCCAUUCUCAGACAUUUCCUAGUGUGUGGUGAAGAACUGGAAGGAAUUUGUCCUGAAAAACUGCAGAAGCAGAAAGAUAAAUUGAAGACAUUUGAGGUCUGAUUCCACCAGGCCAGGGGAAAAGGCAUGAGACUUGCAGUUAAAAGGUCCAAGUUCAAGUCCUGAUUCUACUCCUCACUAGUUGUCACCUUGGGCAAAUUAUUUCUCUGAAGCUCACCCCUCAUCUACAAAAUGGGGACAACAAUACUUGGAACAAUUUACAGGAUUGCUGAGAAACUCAAAUGACAUAAUGUAUGUGAAAAUACUUUCUAAUAAUAGAAGCACUAUAUAAAUAUGAGUAACUAUUCUAAAAGGCAAGUUGAAGUAUUACUGAAAUCCAGCUGGCUGUAAAUAAAAACUGUAAGGCUUUUUCAAAACAUCACACAGUCAUCCCAAAUAUAUUUCUAAGACAUAAGUUCCAGCCCUACUGAGUUUGUGGCCAUUUCUAUCUUAAAUUUCACCAGUAAAGACAGUAUGUUAUCAACUCCAAACAUGAAAAGAAGAAGGUAGGGAAUGAAGGAAUUCACCCUUCAGUUCCUUAACCAGACAAGUUACCUAGUUCACUCCUUCUUUUAUCCUUUUAUCCUCAAUUUCUUCAUUUUUUAAAAGUCACACACCAAGUUAGUGGCAGAGCUACAACUAGAGUGUCCUGACUCAAAAUCCAGUAUACUAUGCUAUUUCAAAUUUCUUCAGAGAAAAAUUUAGUGCUUAAAAUCCAUUACAAGACUUUAGUCUCAAGAGAUCAAAAGUCUAGUAAGACAGAGAAUAUCUUAUGGCACUCAGGCUGAACAAUGAUUUGGAUUCUCAAGAAGAUUUCCCAUUCUUCCCUACAGUCUCUUAUUUUGCUGGACAAAAUCUAAGCCUUCCUUCUUAUUAAACAGUUACAAGUCUCUAGUGUGAAACAAGUGAAACAUAAUGACUAAUGAAUUACAUUUUUUUUUAACCGUACAAUUCUCUUGUUCUUAAGUAUAAGGAUAGGGUCCAGGACUAGACCCAUGAUUUCACUGGCACUGGGAACACCUGGGUGAGAAAAUUCCCUCUAAUCAUGCAAGUUAGCAUCUUCUCUAUAACUUACGGUCUUAGGGAAUUGUUUAGAGUAUUUAGAAGUUAAGUGACCUGCCAGGGUCACACCAUAAAUAUGUGUCAGAGGAGGGCCUUGAACACAGGUCUUCCUGGCUCUGAGACUAGCUCUCUAUCCACACUACAUUACUCUAUGCCUCAUCCACAAGAAUGAGUUAAAACCCAUAGCCAAAACAGAACACGGAAGCAUUGUUUCAUAAUGACAAUAAAGUCAUGACAUUCUGCCUCAUGUUUGCUAAUAAGAAAACUAACAAGACACUGGAGUGAAGCUAUGGUUCUGAAAAAUAUUUGACAAAGUUAAAUCAUGGUAACAGAUUAUAUGGCCUUAAAAUUUUGCUGUAUAUCUUUCACAAUCCUCAUAAUGAAUGGGUUUUGCCUUUCAUAUCUCAAAAGUCAAAAUCCUUCUGUAGUUCAGUCACAACUUGAAAUACUCAGGGGGAAAAAUCAAGAAGCAAAGGAAAUCCAGACUCUUAGUAUGUCUCUUACAUGAAGUAAUGCUAGUUUGAAUGGUAUGAGGUGGGAAACUGGAGGAAUGGUGCAUGAGACACAUGAUAGCUUCUCUAAUGGGGUUACAUGCAACUGUUUAAAAGUUUCUGUUCUUAGAGUUUGAAAGAGACAGGGGCUGACUCCCAGUGACCCCUGAUGAUUAG